ensembl:lncRNA
ACAGCGGGGGUGGUCAGUGUGAGGGUCGCUGUGUCUACAGUCUCUCUAAGAAGGACAUCAACAUCUCUGAUGCUGGAACUUACUACUGUGGCAUAGCCACAAGCAGACAAAUACUGUUUGGGAAUGGAACAGCUCUCAUCAUUGCGGAGCCUGUGGAUAUUGUGCUGGUUGGUUUGGCCGUGGCUUUGGGUUGCUGUGUUGCGUUGAUGUUUUUUCUGGCUUGGCUGAUCGGCAAGAGGAGAAUUACAUGUGACAACUGCAAGAUGAGAGACUUGCAGGAAGCUAGAGGUGUCAGCUCAGAGACCAGACAAACAAGUGCUCAGGCUGAGGCUGCAGAGGGUUUAACUUAUUCAGCCUUGAGCUUCUCUGAGAAGGAGACCAGAGGGAGGAGAACUAAGAGGAAGCUGCCACCAGACGCUGUUUAUUCUGCCGUCCAACUCUGACCACUCAGUCCUGGUUACUGUGUCAUACUCUAUCUGACAAUAGCAACUGCAGUCUGUUUGUUUUAUUUUCAUAUCCCCCAUUUUGUUGUUUGUUUUUUGUUUUUAUUUGUAUGUAUUACAUUUAUAUAUUCUUAAAACUUUCAAUUAUGGUAUUUGACUACUGGAAAUGGAA